rnacentral:rRNA from 1 species
UGCCAGCCGCCGCGGUAAUACGGAGGAUCCAAGCGUUAUCCGGAAUCAUUGGGUUUAAAGGGUCCGUAGGCGGGCAAUUAAGUCAGAGGUGAAAGUUUGCGGCUCAACCGUAAAAUUGCCUUUGAAACUGGUUGUCUUGAAUUAUUGUGAAGUGGUUAGAAUAUGUAGUGUAGCAGUGAAAUGCAUAGAUAUUACAUAGAAUACCAAUUGCGAAGGCAGAUCACUAACAAUAUAUUGACGCUGAUGGACGAAAGCGUGGGGAGCGAACAGGAUUAGAUA